rnacentral:rRNA from 1 species
UACGUAGGGUGCAAGCGUUGUCCGGAAUUAUUGGGCGUAAAGAGCUCGUAGGCGGUCUGUCGCGUCUGCUGUGAAAUCUCAGGGCUUAACCCUGAGCUUGCAGUGGGUACGGGCAGACUAGAGGCAGGUAGGGGGAGAAUGGAAUUCCCGGUGUAGCGGUGAAAUGCGCAGAUAUCGGGAGGAACACCGGUGGCGAAGGCGGUUCUCUGGGCCUGACCUGACGCUGAGGAGCGAAAGCGUGGGGGAGCGAACAGG